rnacentral:rRNA from 1 species
GACGAACGCUGGCGGCGUGCUUAACACAUGCAAGUCGAGCGAAGUAUUCAAGAUAGAUUUCUUCGGAUUGAAGUCUUGAAUAUCUUAGCGGCGAACGGGUGAGUAACGCGUGAGAAACCUGCCUUUCACAAAGGGAUAGCCUCGGGAAACUGGGGAUUAAUACCUUAUGAUACUUACAUUUCACAUGAGAAGUAAGUUAAAGCGCAAAGCGGUGAAAGAUGGUCUCGCGUCCCAUUAGUUAGUUGGUGAGGUAACGGGCUCACCAAGACCGCGAUGGGUAGCCGGCCUGAGAGGGUGAACGGCCACACUGGAACUGAGACACGGUCCAGACUCCUACGGGAGGCAGCAGUGGGGAAUAUUGCACAAUGGAGGAAACUCUGAUGCAGCGACGCCGCGUGAGUGAAGAAGGCCUUCGGGUCGGUAAAACUUUAGUCCUACGGGUACGGAUAAUGACGGUACCCUACGGAGGAAGCCCGGCUAACUACGUGCCAGCAGCCGCGGCGAAUACUGU